CUUCCUCAGCCCAGGGAAAGGAAGAACCGAAUGGCCACACGCCCGCUUGGACCCGGAGCCCGUUAGGGACGAACACAACCGCAGGCGCUGGAAUCCAGGUGCAUCAUGUAAAACAAACCUCUCCGAUGGAAAUAAGACCAUGAAGUGAUAGACAGAAUAAUAUCAGAGAUGGCACCAAACUGGAGGAUGAAACAAAUAAUGUAUUGAGGAGGACUGCAAUUACAAGAGGACAUUAAUAAUCUCUCAGAAUGGACAAAUAAUUGGCAAAUGAAAUUAAACAGAAAUUGCUGGAGAAAUUCGGAGAUCCUUCUUCAGAACUGAUGGUAGCUCAGAAAAGUUGGCAUCUGGGAUAAUGGGUUGGGUAAAGGACAUGUAUUGAACUCAAUAUUGAGUGUCAAAGGUUGCAAGUGGAAACAUACAAAUAGGAGUAGACCAAUCAGCCCAGUGAGCUAGUUUCACCAUGCAAUGUAAUCAUGGCUUAUCAUCUACUUCAGUGGCUGUUCCCUGCACUUGGGGUAGGUGCCAGAAUCUGGAGAAUUGUAUACAUUAUGGCCUUGUUCAGGAAAGGCUAUAAAGACAAUGCAAGCCCAAGUCAGAAAUGUUGCCCAAGGAACACUGUGGUGUGUUGAAGUGGCAGGCAACUGAAAAUUCUGGCUUAUUUCUGUGAACAGAACAUAGGUGUUCUGCGAAGUGGUCACCCAGCCCGCGUUUCGUCUUUCAAAAGUAGAGGACAUCAUAUUGUGAGCAGCUCAUACAGUCAACUAGAUUGAGUGAAACCCAGGUAAAGCACUGCUUCACCUGGAAGAUGCAUCUGGAACCUUGAACAGUGAGGAGGAAGGAUGUAAAUGAGCAGAUGUUACACCUUGUGUGAAUGCAUAGGAAGGUGCCAUGGGGCUGUCGAGAGUGGAGGAAUGGACCAGGGCAAUGCCAGAGGGAAUGGACGCUGCGGAAUGCUGACACGGGAAGGGGAGUGUGUCUGGUGGUAGAAAUGCAUCACCUCAUACUUCUCUGCAUCUACCACCUAUCCACCCACUCCACCAACUCAUCAAAGUCCUUAUGGAGUUCCACACUUUUGUUCUCACUGUUUACAAUUGUUCCAAGUUUAGUGUCAUCUGCAAACUUUGAAAUUGUCUCCUGCACACCAGGAUCCAGAUUGUGAAUUUAAAUCAAGAAAAGCAAUGGUCCCAAUACCAAUCCCUGUGGAACUCCACAAUACACCUUCCUCCGACUUGAAAAAAAUCCAUUGAGCAUUACUAGAUAACAAAGUGUGAAGCUGGAUGAACACAGCAGGCCAAGCAGCAUCUCAGGAGCACAAAAGCUGACGUUUUGGGUCGAGACCCUUCCUCACUGAUACAGUUUUGUAACCAUGUUGCUACUGUCUCUGCUUACCAUUAUAAGUUCUCUCAUAAGUCUGUUGUAUGGCACUAUAUCUGACAAAUCUUGGAAAUCCAUGAACAUCAUACCAGCGGUGUUGCUCUCAUUGAGCCAUUCUGUCAGAUCUUCAAAAGCCUCCAGCAACUUAGUUAACACAAUUUUCCCUUUAGAAAUCCAUGCUGACCAUUCUUGAUUGACCCACGUUUUUCCAUGUGUUUACUAACACGAUCCCAAAUAAUUGUUUCUAGAAAUUUACCACUACAUAAAUUGAAAUAACUGGUCUCUCGUUGCUAGAAUUAUCCUUACAACCUUUCCUGUUUAAGGUUACAAUGUUUACAAUUCUCCAGAUUCUG